rfam:Mesocricetus auratus contig078017, whole genome shotgun sequence.
GGUUAUGUGAGGGCGAUCUGGCUGCGACAUCUGUCACCCCAUUGAUUGCCAGAGUUGACUCGGCUGAUCUGACUGGCUAGAUGGGUGUCCCCCUCCUCCCUCAGGGCUCCAUGUACUUCCCUCUUGAUGCUGUACGAAAACAGGAGGACCGGUCUUCAGUCAAGGGUAUACGAGUAACUGGAGUAGCUAUGCGCCCCUGCUAGAACCUCCAAAGAAGUUCUCAAAAUGGUCACAGGCUCAUUUCCAAACGCUUUCAUCAAGAGGUAAGAUCUAUUUUCUCACUCUUUAAGCUCGAGCUGAUCUUGGACUUCCUUUGAUU